GAGUAAAGUGGCAGACGGGUGAGUAACACGUGAACAACCUACCCUCGAGUGGGGAAUAACACCGCGAAAGCGGUGCUAAGACCGCAUAACAUUCCUGGUUUGCAUGAACUGGGGAUCAAAAGCGAAAGUUGCUUGAGGAGGGGUUCGCGCCUGAUUAGCUAGUUGGUGAGGUAACGGCCCACCAAGGCGACGAUCAGUAGCCGGCCUGAGAGGGCGAACGGCCACACUGGAACUGAGACACGGUCCAGACUCCUACGGGAGGCAGCAGUGGGGAAUUUUGCGCAAUGGGCGGAAGCCUGACGCAGCAACGCCGCGUGGAGGAUGAAGGUCUUCGGAUCGUAAACUCCUGUCAGUGGGGAAGAAAGGCCCGUGAGGGUUUUGACUGUACCCGCUGAGGAAGCCACGGCCAACUCCGUGCCAGCAGCCGCGGUAAUACGGAGGUGGCAAGCGUUGUUCGGAAUUACUGGGCGUAAAGGGCGCGUAGGCGGCUUAGCAAGUCGGAUGUGAAAUCCCCGGGCUCAACUCGGGAAUAGCAUCCGAAACUGCGUA
rnacentral:rRNA from 1 species